AAAAAAAGAAAAGAAAAGAAAAAGAAAAAAAGAUAAAAACAAAACUUU
rnacentral:ribozyme from 1 species